rnacentral:ncRNA from 2 species
AAGCAUGAUAGAGGCGCGGCCAACAUCAGUAGCUUUCCGUUAUAUAUGGUGCGCUAGGGAGCACGGGGAAGCGAAAGGGGAGGCCGCCGAGGAGGCGCCGGGGCGACCUAGGCUGCGGGCUUCCGGGCCAGUGGACAACAUCUGCUGGACUGUCGCUGUGAAGCGGAGAGCUGUCAUGACA